rnacentral:lncRNA from 1 species
GAUCAACAGUGAUCUGAGUGCGGAGCAGGAUUAUGAGUUCACUUCACUCUCGAUGUUGCAAUGCAGAGAUUCUUUAGAAGAAAGGAAGGAAAGCUUUGCAAUGCUGCCAGGAAUGUGCAUUGUAGAGAAUCACUUGGAAUUCUUGUCUUUCAAGGGAUUUUCUUCAUUUUUCCAUGACCACAGUUUUGGUACAAGCAUAUUUUGUUGACCAGAAUUGGAUUUCAGGGGAAACAAUCAUAGCAGCAUUGAAAGGUCUGAAAACCCCUUAACCAAAGAACUCUGUAAUUGCAAUGCCUAGGAAUCGUACAUGUGAUUUUUCCGAAAUUUAUCAUUUGUCCAGUCCUGAAAGAAUGUCUCUCAAACCAGCUGGCGGCAACCGUAAUUUUCAUCUUCUAUCACUUAACAUGUCCAAAGCUUAUCUAGCUUAUCUGUAGCUUAUUUCGGGUUUUAUUUUUGUAUUUUUAAUAGUAUAAGAUCCUUCUUGUAAAAUGAUUUUGCUCUUUCCCCUCUAUUUUUUAUUUUGAAUGUUUCUCUUUUUACAAAGUAUUCACUCAAUUGUCUCUCUGGAAGAACUAUUCAUACCUACAGGCUGUCAUCUUUUAAUUGUUUCGAUUGAACUGAUCAAUAAAUUUUAGGACUGUAAUUUCUAAUGUUUAAUUUCUUGUUUAACGAUUAAGAGAUUGGUUUACUUUAUAAUCUUAAGAAAACUAACACUUGGCAUCUUUUCACUUUUAGUUGUCAUUUUUUAUUUCAAUCAUAACUACUUUGAGAAACCUUAGCAGGCUUUCAGAUAAGCCACUGAUUUAACAGUCUAAAAUUAAGCAAAGUUUGGACUGAGCUACUGUCAAGCCCUUCCUGUAUUUUUUAAUUCUAUAAUAUUGAGUUUUUAUCUCCUUCAUCGCAUUUAAAUAUUUUUUUAUUUUACUAGCAAAUGAUUUAUCGCAGUUGUAAGCUCUAUAAUAAAAUGAUGAAGUAUUAUUAUAAUUCAUCAUCGUAUUUUUUUGCCCUAUUUAUUCUUGACACUUAGCUUUAUGUCUAGAAGCUCUUGCUCUUGCAAGAAGCAUCAGUAUUCAGUGAGUACAGUAGAAAUACAGAAUAAUUAUUUCUAGUCGGAGAAAAUUCACAGGCGACAAAAACCCAACUGAGCUAUAAAGAAGAUCAGUCUCACCUCUCUCAUUGAAACUUAGUAUUUUUGUUGCAGAAAGCCUCAUUAAUUUUUUCACUUCGUCCAAAUUGGGUGACAUGUUUUCCAUGAUUUUGCCAUUCAUUGAUGUCUUUAAUUUUUUUGAGCCUUAAGCAAUAGAAAAUCUCAUUUUUUACUUGAAGGAGUCAAGUGUUGCUUUUAUAUUUUGAGGGAAGCGUAAUUAAUUUGAAAAAUUCUUCCAAACCUGUGGCUCAAAUAAACUUUAACCUAAGGCUACAACUGAGCACUUGCAUUCAAUUACCUCGCUUAGUACGCCUUCAGAUAAGUCUUACUCAAAAUGACUGCUACUUCACAGCCAAGCUCCUUUGUCUGUAGUAUUCGCCCUUUUUCUAUAUUUCUUAAAAAUGAAUACAAUUAAUAAAUAUUUGAAGCAUUUUUUCUCGCAGUCAACAUCACUUAUGUUGGUUGUUAUAACUGUUACAAAAGACAGAAGUUUGGAAGGUCCUAAAAAGUGGUCACGAAAGUACGUAGGUUUAUAAGUGAUCGUGUAAUUUAGACUGAAUCUGUCAUAAAUCGUUUUUGUCAGAUUUUAAUCUCACAAAACUAAUAUUCCUCAAUAAGAAAUUUUAGUCACCAGUGAUCUCAAAGUGGGACCAGUUAAAAAUGUAAACCCCAAAAACAAACAGAAAAAAAGAGAGAAAACGCCUUCAAUUUGACUGCACGCAAUCCUGCGUUGCACAAAAGCAGCUAUAAUUGAUGUGUCCAACUGAAGCCAUUUACAGGAGUAACAAAUUGUGUUCGCUUUUAAGUAAAAAUUGCAG